UCACUGAGAUUCACAACUUUGAUGGGGAAGUCGAGCCUUUCAAAAGAGGCAACGUUUGUGCUGUAACUAAAAUGACGACAUGUUGCCUCCUUUGGGGGGAUUCUGAAGGUUUCUCAAAGAUACAACACAGUGGCUGAGUGGACUGGACUUCACUGAAAGGAAACAUUUUGCUGAGGAAGUGGAGUAACUGUGGUUCUCUCCUCACUCUACUGCCUGGGACGUGCUGUGCAUUGUCAGGAUUAAGCCAACACUCAAGUCUGGGAUGGGCCUUGGGGACAAACACUCCCUGGUUUCUUCUGACUUUGGAAUUUGUCUAUAGCCAAUCAACUAAGUCACAGAUCAGAUAUUGGUUUCUUGCUGC
rnacentral:lncRNA from 1 species